UCGAAUUUUACGAUCUCUAUUUCUCUUCCGUCCGCGAAAACAUUCACAUUUUUAUCUUAUCCUCCUCCUUUUUCUUUCUUCUUUCGCUAAAAUCAGCCCCUUUCAGAAUUUCGCCAUUGUAAAGCUAUUUCAGCGAGACGAAUCGACCAACUUGGGAUUCCCCAGACACGGAUUUGGGAGGACGGUAUCCUCGACGCAUCCCAUCUCACCUUUACUGUCACACGGUGUUUUAUAUCGCGGUACCUUACGCAAAUCUCAUUACGCAACAUAUCACCGAAAUACACGAGAGCCCGGAACGUGUGUUCGACUUCUUGAAAGAGACAGAGACAGAUAGAAAGAGUAUUUGUAUCUGUAUGCAUACGUGCGUCUGUGUAAGUGUCGUGGUAAGGAAAAGAGAAGGAGAGAGAAGAGGAAAGGAUGGAUUCCUUCUGCGCGGAUGGAAAUUCGGAAAAACGUUUCACAAUCGUCGCGACAUCCUCGAUCAACCAGCUCGACAACGCUGAAAAACCGACGAACGACCGUUUAUAAAUAGACGUUAACAAACAUACGUUCACUCUCAGGUUAUUUUUAAUUGCGUCUCAACCUUAUAUCGGUGUACACUGCGCCGCGAUAAGCGAUCUCCAUUUUUGAUCGUAGAAUUCGUUCGAAUGCCGUUUAAAUUUAAAUCGAACGUCAAUUGUCAAACGACGAAGAAAAUUGAAAACCGAUGGCGAAGCAGAAUUAACGUAAGCAUUCAAGGUUGGACGGGAACAUAUUGGACCGACUAAGUAUCGGAUCGUGUUGUUUUCAUUGCUCGCAGAAUUUAUCUGGUGAAACGACUGACAAGAAGACGUGUGAUUUUAAUGCGCGUCUAUUUUCGUUUAGUUCAACAGCAAAAUUCUAUAUCUUCCUCCAAAUCGAAGAAAGCUUCUCCAUCUUCUAUCGUCAUGUUUUUCGCGACUUCAUAAUUUCAAACUUUAGAACUUGUAUUUGAUAGAAAGAUGAUAUCACGAUCGAGUAAAUUUCGAAUUUUUCAUUACGGAUAAUCAGCCGAGUUUCGAGCCGAUUUAAUUUUACGUCUGAUCUUUGAGCCGGUUGGUUCAGGAUGCACAUUAAUGGGGCAACGAGAUCGUUUUCCCGAGAAUCGAUUGCGACACACCGUGGCGAACGGAGAGGAUCCUCUAGGCUCUAGAGAACUAACAGCAAAAUUAGUCGGCCAGUGGACCGCCCGACAGGUGCGUGUGUGCGACGCAGAAAUUUUAGCAGACACCGAUAGAUACGCUCGCUCUUGGAACAAUAAUAGAGAACGGAUCUGUUGACACCAUGUGAUCCAUGAGUGCGCGAGCGAAUUUCGCGGCGACGGUACGGGAACGCCUCAAGGACGGCCAUUUUACAGUCUUUUCUGAGAAUCUUCUCGAAAACUGUGCACCAGAUAGUAAAGAAGAACGAAUAAAUCGUCGUAACAUAAUCUUCCUGAGGUAUUCGUAGAGGUACGAACGAAAAUCAAGCGCAUAAGCGAGCACGGUAUUCGACAGAUAGAAAGAAAGAGAGAGAACUCGCUACAAGAUGUCCGUCGCUUAUUUAUUUAUAGAGCGAGCACACAUCGGCACGCAUGGUCACAUGCUCGCGUGCACGGCGCACCGACUGUAACUUAAGGGUGAGCGUGAGACGCGCGAGCGCAUGCAAGAGUACGCGUACUCGCACGCGUUUCCCUCGGAAGUGGACAAAAAGUUCGCUCGACUCACCAGGUUUAUUUUGUACUCCGUUUAUUUCUUAACGCGGGGGCUGUUCUCAUUGUUUGCAGAAAUAAUACGAUGAAAGUGGCGCGAGUGGUUAAAGGAAAUAAAUUUGGAAAGCAGCGGUUUGGCCCGUUGAAAUCGGAAAUGAAAUUAUGCCGAGUUAAGAUGCAGAGAGUGGCAUUUUCUUCUGUUCGAGAUAUGCCACUAAUCUACUGUAGAAUUCAAUAUUAUAAGAAAGCAAGAUUCUUGAAAGAAAUUUUGGAAAUGGUUUGUCUACUUUCACGAGGCAGAUAUUCCAAAUAUGAAGCUUUUAUUGUAAUUUCGGUGUGCUGUUUGACCAGAUAUUAAAAUAUUACUCUAAA